rnacentral:lncRNA from 10 species
GCAGGAAGAGUAAUCAUGACAGAAGAGAUUUACUGCAGCCUUCUUCUCCUUUCUUUUUGCAUUAAGGACAAGCGUCGCCUGCACACGUCAGCACAAAUGGGAACAUGAUGAGGUACCACUUUUUCCAAGGCUGUGACCAGCUCCUCAGGGCAGCAGGCGAAGCUGUCCCUCUGAGUUAGCCUUUGAAGUUUUCCUCAAAUCUCUUGCUGCAGGGAAGCCAAGCCAGUCAACCCUAGGCUUCCACUGGGAGCUAUAUUCCUUCCUUCCUUCAUUCAUUCCCCAAAUAUUUUUCAAGGGUCCACCAUGUGCCAGGCAUUGUGCUAAAAGUGUUUUGUGUAGGUUCAAGUGAGGCCUGCGGGGUGACCAGCUAUCCCAGUUUCCCUGGCAUGAGAGACUUUCUGUGUGCAAACUAAGACAGCUGGUCGCCCUACUUUGGGCGUGAGCUUAGCAUGCAGUGUAACUUUCUGUACAGAGUGUAAUUCUUAAGAAUCACGCCAAGAUCACCUUCCUUGCUAAAAUGAACAUUCUCAGGCUCCACUCCAUACCAGUGAUUCCAAAUCCUCUGAGGCUGGAAACCUAUGUUGAAUCAGUUCCCCUAAGCUAUUAUUAUGCGUAUUUAAGUUUGAGAACAGCUGAACUAGUGCUUAAGGGUACGAACUUUAAAGCCACUCAUGCAUGAAUUCAAAUUCCACUCUCACCAUUAAACAUCUAUGCACGUUUUUACAAAUUGCUUAAUCAAUAUGGGCUCUAAUUUCCUUAUUCGUAAAAUGGGUCUCAUAAUACUAUUUUCAUUGUGUUCUUGAGUGAUGCUGCCUGGAGUUAAAGGAGGCCAGGAGCACCAGAAGCUGGAGGAGGCCGGGGUGGAUUCUCGCCUGGAGGCUUCAGUGGGAGCACGAGCUCCCGACACUUCGGUUCCAUCUCUUGUUUAAAGGCACCCAGUUUCUCAUCAUUUGUUACAGCACCAUGGAAAACCCACACACAAGUGAAGCCCCGACCCACCUCCCAAGUGCCCAUCUGAGCACCCCUCGUGGACUCUGAGCAGGGGGUUGCCAUCACCAACUCCAAGUCUUGCAGCCCCUCUUCCCUUCAGUCUGGCUGCCACCUUCUUCAUUGCCCUGGAAAAAAAUAAUGAAGUUUCACCAUUUAAAGGGUUUCAGUGCAGCUUGCUAUGGGAACACUGGAGAGUAACACAAAUGGCCAAUUGUCCUAAUAGCCACCAUGGAUUGGAUGGAUGCUAACAACAGGCUCACAGUUCUCCUUCUGUUGCCUCCUUUUAUCCACAUGAGAAUCAAACAAGACUACUGAUUAAAUGAAGCCUUUGAUGAAGUGCAUGCAGUUUGUAGCUUGAUUCAUGGGAAUACUCAUCACAGACUGAAAGUGUAACCCAGGGUCUCUGGGUUUUUGGGAACGCGCUGUGUAAAAGUAUCUACUUGUAACUGUUACUCCCUGAGUUGUUGUUGUUUUAGAAAGUUCCAAGAAGAAGCUUAGCCUUGGAAAAAACAAAAACUGGUUGAAUCCAGAAGUGGAGAUGAAUUUUGGCCAACGCUCCUCACUGCCACACUAAAAACCCUGCUCAGAGAGGAGCUUAUUCACCAUGUUCUAUUCAUGCAAUGUGUGUGGAAACAUGAUCUACGACAGCAUGCGUGCUGCCUUCACCCUACCUCUACAUACAAUGACUCAUUUAACCUGCUGAAUAAAAGCCCUGUUUUCACCUUUGCUGGGGGAGGUGCCGCUUUGGGAACUAUUCGCAGUGUCCUCUUCACUUUUUGCAAGUAAUAGAAUACCCUUGUUAAAUCCUACUUGGUUGUGGUCAUUAUAGUGUCACCCGCCAAGCAAUCGAUCCCACCCAGGGUUAACAAAUGCGGGAUAACAAAUGUCAGGUUUUAGGCAAGUUACUUACUCGCUCAAAAUAUGAAGAUAUAAGUUACCAUCAGUUGUCAAUCAUGGUGAGCUUUGCUCUGCUGCAGUAACAGACAAUCGUAACUCUUAGUAGCUCUAAAUGACCAGUUUAAAUAACACCUCGUCUUUGUAGUUUUGAUAGCGACAGGAGGCAGCCAAAUGCCUAGGCAGGUAGGGGCAGGUUCCCCGUGAAACUCCAUCUCCAAGCCGAAGACAGUUUAGAGCCUGAAAGCCAAGCUCCACAUUAAAUCCUCCGACUGGAUUGAGAACUUGUCUUCCUGUUUAGUGUGCUUUUCUCUCAUUGGUCCCUGCCAUUCACCUAUUUCAUAUACACCUAACCUUUUCUAAUUGGUUUUCUAUACUGUCAUGCCCAACUUUGAGUGGUCUUUGCUUUAACCUUUUCUACAUAUUCACAAACCGAUCAGCAUGCACCCCCCAUUCUGAGUCCAUGAAAGGCUCUGGAUCUAGCCACACAGAGGAACUUUCCCAUCUUCAGGUAGGGGGGCCACCACCAACAUGUCCCCUCUCCACCAAAAGCUGUUUUCAUUGUUCAAUAAAAUUCUUCUCUGCCUUCCUCACCCUUCAAUGUCCAGCAUAUCCUCAUUCUUCUUGGGCAUGGUACAAGAGCACAGGAACCACUGAAGGUGGGUACAAGUUAUAAUACAGGCAAGUGGGGGCAUGCCAGCUUUGGCUGAGUGAGGACCAGGUCGAGCAUUACUGUCAGGGGAUCCCUGGCUUGCAAAGUGACCAAGAAGAAAAGUCUUACAUUAGUUUGGCUAGGGUGAGGCCCUGACCUCUGUUACCUUCACUCGGCCAGCUCACUGAUGGUGACUCUGUAUUGAUAGGCACUCCACCCAGAAAUUGUGCACUGACAUUUCCUGGCCAACGAAAGUUACUCAACUAUGCCUGAUUUUAAACUGCAAUCCUAACAUGACCCAGAAGGUGAAGAGCCAGAAAUAUUUGAUGACUACACUGAGCCCACUUUCCCUCACAGGCUUGUUUUGCAGGGUUAAUGAUUUAAGCCAUGUGAUGUAUGGUUCACAGGGUGCCUGGCACCUGCCAAGUAUUCUUCCCCCAGGAGUUGGCAGGUCCUUGAAGGCACUCUCUGGUUUAGAUAUUCUUAGCUCCUUCCACUGUUCCUCAUGCUACAUUAUCUUAAAUCUUUUUAUUUUUACCAUCCUGGUUCGUCUCCUCUAAAAAUCCUACCCAAAUGUCCCUGUUAAUUCAUGAUCCACCAGAAACAAACAAUCUUCCAGCUGAAUACAGAACCCAAGAGAACAAAAUGAUCUCCUUCCUUCUUCUAGAUUAUGCAUCCUAAAAUCUGACUGUUUUUUCUUUUCUGGCAAUCAGAGUGCACUGUUGAAUUUACUGUCAAUUAAACAUUCUCCAUCUCUUCUAUGUAUUUUUCUGUAUUUAGACAUUUUUCUCCAAUCCCAUACUUGUGUCAUUAGCUUUUCAGUCACAAAUAAAAGAAGUUUCACAUUGUUCCUUAUUAAAGAGCAUCUGUUUGACUUGGCCCAUUCUUCCCAGCAGUUAUAAUUCAGACCAAGGUUGUUCUCAUCCAACAUUCAAACAAACACUAUGGAAUGGGAGAGGUAUGAAAGCAUUCAUCCCGACAAACAAUGGUCUCACCAUUUUGGAAGGCAUCUUUUUUACUUCAUUUUUUAACAGCUGUAUUAAUAUGUAACUGAGGUACAAUAAACUGAAUACAUUUAAAGGGUACAAUUUUUAUAAGUGUGGACCUUUGAAUACACCCAUGGAAC